AGAGUUUGGCUCCGGGCUCAGAACGAACGCUGGCGGCGUGGAUAAGACAUGCAAGUGGAACGCUGAUUGACAGGUAACAAUAUUUGUCAGUCGGAGUCGCGUAAGGGUGCGUAACACGUGAGCAAUUUGCCGUGAAGUUUGGAAUAACUCGCCGAAAGGCGAGCUAAUACUAAAUGUGACUAUUAAUAGGCAUCUGUUAAUAGUCAAAGCCGGGGACCGUAAGGCCCGGCGCUUCACGAUAAACUCGCGGCCUAUCAGCUAGUUGGUGAGGUAACGCCUCCCCAAGGCUAAGACGGGUAGUUGGUUUGAGAGGACGACCAGCCACACUGGAACUGAGACACGGUCCAGACACCUACGGGUGGCAGCAGUCGAGAAUUUUUCACAAUGGGGGAAACCCUGAUGGAGCGACGCCGCGUGGGGGAUGAAUGGCUUCGGUC
rnacentral:rRNA from 1 species